GGAUGUGAUUGAUUUCAGGAUCACCCUUCUUCUACUGCUCCGCAUAGCAGUCGACGAUGCAUACCGACUCCGAGGAGUUGAAUGGGAAACCCCACUUCCAAUCGGCGAGGAGUGUUUCAGAGUUGCUGGAGGGAAGGUGCAUAAGGUUUCGAGGUUCCUAGUUGAACAUGUUCUAGGAGCUCCAUCAUUUAAUAAGGAAGUUCCAAUCUGGCUCUUCAGGAAGUACUCGCAGUUCUUCUUGAUUCAAAGAGACAGAACAUCCAGGAUCAGCGAGAGAAUUCAACAUACAUAACAUAAAAUUAGAAAACAGAAUUUGCAUUGUGUGGACCAAGGACAAUCAGCUCUUAACAAAGUCAAGUAUGCCAAGUUGGAUGUACGUUGAAAAAAAUACACCAGUGAUACUUCCAAAGAUAGUUUCAGCAAACAAUGCCAACAACACUACGGGGUUCCCCUGGAGGGCAAAGUGAAGGUGCAAGAGAGACUAACCAUCCUUAUGGCCGUAUGCAUUUUUGCAUCCUUCACAUCUGCAGUUGAAAGAGCAGCCAACUCCAGCCUUUUUUGUCCAGAGAAAUCAAUUGUUAUGAGCAGAACAAAAUAAGCACAAUAAUGAUAAUCAAUGAGUUUCCAACAGAACGGGCACCGAGUGAAGUAACCUGAAAGCAUUCACAGUAUUUCUUCAGGCAACUUGAUCUUUUACAUCUACAGCCCUGCUUAUGCCUUGCAGAAACAGGAGUUUUGGUUCCUUGCUCCUUAAAAAGAAGAAGAAGAAGAGGAAACAAGGUAAUGUCUCAAGGAAUCAGUUACAGCGCUUGCAGGAGGCAAUUUCCAUGUCAUCUUCGAAUUUGCUCCUGCAGUGAUCGAGCAUUGCAUUCAAAAUAAUAGGUUGAAGCAGUUGCAUUCGGGCCGAAGAAACAUCAGGGACAUGUAGAGUACCUUUUCAUUAGAGGACAACAUUGGUCCAAGUCUUUGCAAACUAGACCAGAUAUACGACGAUCGUCCUCAGUUUGUAGAGCUUCAUCAUCACAUGGAACCAGAUCAUUCCCUUGGGAGAAUAUCUUAUCCACGUCUGAGUAGCCCACGAUAGAUACAUCUCCAGACAUCAAAUAACCGGAGGCAGAUGCAGCACCGCACGAACUUGUCAACGGCAACGGCAAAUCAGAUGUCUCAGAGUCCCAUCUGACAACAUUACCGAUAUCCGAAAUAGCUGAGAACGCAUGAAGAUGCCAGUCAACAUUCAAUGUGGGAUUUGCAAUAUGAAAAUGCUGGAUGCUUCAAUUGAAACCAAUUGCGUUUUCAUGACUGAUAAUAAGAAUGCUACUUGCGUUAAAAGACUUA